rnacentral:lncRNA from 1 species
ACACCGGUAUUUUUACGUGAAAAAUCCCUCUAAAUCAAGGGUAAAAACCACGGAACUUUAGAGUCCGAUAAAGAGCUCUACUAUCAUCAAAUGUUCGACUACAAGAUCAAAAUAUCAAGCCUACAACAAGCAUUCAACUCCGACAAGGUUAACAAUAUGUAAUCUUUAGCAAAAGAGAGAAAAAUGAGAGAAUAUCACCAAAAACGCAGCUGCUGAAAAAUGGGUAUUU